UACGUAGGGUGCGAGCGUUAAUCGGAAUUACUGGGCGUAAAGCGUGCGCAGGCGGUUCGUUAAGACAGCUGUGAAAGCCCCGGGCUCAACCUGGGAACUGCGGUUGUGACUGGCGAGCUAGAGUAUGGCAGAGGGGGGUGGAAUUCCACGUGUAGCAGUGAAAUGCGUAGAGAUGUGGAGGAACACCGAUGGCGAAGGCAGCCCCCUGGGCCAAUACUGACGCUCAGGCACGAAAGCGUGGGGAGCAAACAGG
rnacentral:rRNA from 1 species